rnacentral:rRNA from 1 species
UAGUCCUAGCCGUAAACGAUGGGCACUAGGUGUCGGGACCCUUGAGGUUUCGGUGCCGCAGCUAAUGCGUUAAGUGCCCCACCUGAGGAGUACGGUCGCAAGAUUGAAACUCAAAGGAAUUGACGGGGGCCAGCACAAGCGGUGGAACAUGUGGUUUAAUUCGAUGCUACUCGAAGAACCUUACCCAGGCUUGACAUGUAGGAAGUACGAACCCGAAAAGGUUAGGACUCGUAACCAAUCGAGAACCUUCACAGGAGCUGCAUGGCUGUCGUCAGCUCGUGCCGUGAGGUGUUGGCUUAAGUGCCAAAACGAGCGCAACCAUUGCUACUAGUUGCCAGCGGAUCUUCGGAUGCCGGGGACUCUAGUGGGACUGCCAGCGAUGAGCUGGAGGAAGGUGGUGAUGACGUCAAGUCAGUAUGGCCUUUAUGCCUGGGGCAACACACGUGUUACAAUGGGGUGCACAAUGCGCAGCGAACUCGCGAGAGCAAGCAAA